CAACUAGUUGGUUUACUAUUUUUAUAAAAUGCGUUUUUAUUUAAUUUAUUGCAACGUUUAAAUAAAAUAAGAUGCGCUUGUGCAUUAUUCUUCUUUUUUUCAAAAAAUCUGCUGACCGCUUAGUACGACACACACACACAAACGCACACGCACGACGUUUGUAAAUUUUACACAGAGCGAGCCCCAACGAGAGCGCGCACCAAAAUAAUCAUAAUAUAAAAGAAGAGCGCAGUAAGCUUGAGCGAACGCAACGUCUUCAUACACUUUGACGCGAGCAGCGCAGGAAGAGACCAGCUAACGAAGAGACGUAUUUAUUUAUUUCUAAUCUGCAGUUUGACAACUUCAGACCCUUUUCAAAUUGUAAUCAUAAUGUCAAAGUGUAUAUAUAACGAGCAACAACAAGAACCGCAAGAGCAACCAAAACGAGAGCAAUUGCCGGCCGCUAGCAGACGUCGUCGUCGGCAGCGACAGCGACAGCAUACGCAAGCAAGAAAGCAUGAGCAUGAGCGCGUGGGUGAUUUUACUGAGUGCAAUUGUAAGCUGAGAGUGAGAGUGAGUAAAAAUUGAGUGCAAGCAUAUGCCGUUAAAUGGACUAAGCAUUGCUCUGAAUAUUUGAGCGCAGCAGCAGUUAAUUUUUCAAAACGGCAGCAAAUAUAAUAUAAUUUUG